rnacentral:rRNA from 1 species
AGAAUGAACGCUGGCGGCAUGCCUAACACAUGCAAGUCGAACGAGACCUUCGGGUCUAGUGGCGCACGGGUGCGUAACGCGUGGGAAUCUGCCCCUUGGCUCGGAAUAACAGUUGGAAACGACUGCUAAUACCGGAUGACGACGUAAGUCCAAAGAUUUAUCGCCAAGGGAUGAGCCCGCGUAGGAUUAGGUAGUUGGUGUGGUAAAGGCGCACCAAGCCGACGAUCCUUAGCUGGUCUGAGAGGAUGAUCAGCCACACUGGGACUGAGACACGGCCCAGACUCCUACGGGAGGCAGCAGUGGGGAAUAUUGGACAAUGGGCGAAAGCCUGAUCCAGCAAUGCCGCGUGAGUGAUGAAGGCCUUAGGGUUGUAAAGCUCUUUUACCCGGGAUGAUAAUGACAGUACCGGGAGAAUAAGCUCCGGCUAACUCCGUGCCAGCAGCCGC